rnacentral:lncRNA from 1 species
CCUGGAUGAGACAUCCUACCCCCAGCUGUGGAUGCUCAAAGGAGAGGUCCUACUGGAAUUGGAGCAGCACCAACCAGCCCGGCUGCUCUUAUCAGAGGCCCAACAGACUUUCCAGGAGCUAGGCUAUGUCUGUUUAGAAGCACAGAGCUUGUUGCUUCUAGCACAGCUGGCCAACAAGGAAAAGAACCACGGACAAGCUAUGCUCAUGAUUGAGAGAGCCCAGCAGCUAGGGGGAGCUGAGGAAUUCUGGUACAACUCAACCCUGGCUCUGGCUGAGGCCAUCUUAUCCUCUGAAGAUGAUGACAAAGAAGUCACAGUGAGUUAGGGGGGGCAGCAGACAAUGGUAGGGUGCAUGAGGGAGGGUAUGUGCUGACGUCCUGU